CUGACCAACGUUGCUUCGGCGGUGCGCCCCCCCGGGGGUAGCCGCCGGAGACCACAUUGAACCUCUUGUCUUUAGUGUUGUCUGAGCUUGAUAGCAAACCUAUUAAAACUUUCAACAAUGGAUCUCUUGGUUCCGGCAUCGAUGAAGAACGCAGCGAACUGCGAUAAGUAAUGUGAAUUGCAGAAUUCAGUGAAUCAUCGAGUCUUUGAACGCACAUUGCGCCCCCUGGCAUUCCGGGGGGCAUGCCUGUCCGAGCGUCAUUGCUGCCCUUCAAGCCCGGCUUGUGUGUUGGGUCGUCGUCCCCCCCGGGGGACGGGCCCGAAAGGCAGCGGCGGCACCGCGUCCGGUCCUCGAGCGUAUGGGGCUUUGUCACCCGCUCGAUUAGGGCCGGCCGGGCGCCAGCCGGCGUCUCCAACCUUUUAUUUUACCAGGUUGACCUCGGAUCAGGUAGGGAUACCCGCUGAACUUAAGCAUAUCAAUAAGCGGAGGA
rnacentral:misc_RNA from 1 species